rnacentral:rRNA from 1 species
GUGAGGAAUAUUGCGCAAUGGAGGCAACUCUGACGCAGCCAUGCCGCGUGCAGGAAGAAGGCGCUACGCGUUGAAAACUGCUUUUAACCGGGAAGAAACCCCAGGACGUGUCCUGGGUUGACGGUACCGGAGGAAUAAGCACCGGCUAACUUCGUGCCAGCAGCCGCGGUAAUACGAAGGGUGCAAGCGUUAUCCGGAUUCAUUGGGUUUAAAGGGUGCGUAGGCGGAGCGUUAAGUCAGUGGUGAAAUCCUGCAGCUUAACUGUAGACUUGCCAUUGAUACUGGCGCUCUUGAGUGCGCUUGAAGUGGGCGGAAUGUGCCGUGUAGCGGUGAAAUGCUUAGAUAUGGCACAGAACACCAAUUGCGAAGGCAGCUCACUAAGGCGAUACUGACGCUGAGGCACGAAAGCGUGGGGAUCGAACAGGAUUAGAAACCCGUGUAGUCC